ACGCCUCAACUCUCAUGGUUCGCCGUGAUGAGCUUGGAGUCUGGAGGUUUUGCUGGUCUCUGGUCAGCUCCUCUCAAAUGAAUCAGCUUGCCGGUAUCUGGUGGCGUCAUGGGUGUGAUAACUAUCUACGCUCAGGACCGUCUACUAGGUAACCUCCAGUGAUGGAGGUUUGCUGGGGCUCACAGACGUCUCCCUUCAGUGGGGACAGCUUUUUGAAC
rnacentral:misc_RNA from 1 species